rnacentral:rRNA from 1 species
GGCAGCAGUGGGGAAUAUUGGACAAUGGGGGGAACCCUGAUCCAGCCAUGCCGCGUGUGUGAAGAAGGCCUUAUGGUUGUAAAGCACUUUAAGCGAGGAGGAGGCUACUUUAGUUAAUACCUAGAGAUAGUGGACGUUACUCGCAGAAUAAGCACCGGCUAACUCUGUGCCAGCAGCCGCGGUAAUACAGAGGGUGCGAGCGUUAAUCGGAUUUACUGGGCGUAAAGCGUGCGUAGGCGGCUUAUUAAGUCGGAUGUGAAAUCCCCGAGCUUAACUUGGGAAUUGCAUUCGAUACUGGUGAGCUAGAGUAUGGGAGAGGAUGGUAGAAUUCCAGGUGUAGCGGUGAAAUGCGUAGAGAUCUGGAGGAAUACCGAUGGCGAAGGCAGCCAUCUGGCCUAAUACUGACGCUGAGGUACGAAAGCAUGGGGAGCAAACAGGAUUAGAUACCCUGGUAGUCCAUGCCGUAAACGAUGUCUACUAGCCGUUGGGGCCUUUGAGGCUUUAGUGGCGCAGCUAACGCGAUAAGUAGACCGCCUGGGGAGUACGGUCGCAAGACUAAAACUC